rnacentral:rRNA from 1 species
GAUGAACGCUGGCGGCGUGCCUAAUACAUGCAAGUCGAGCGAACGGACGAGAAGCUUGCCUUUCUGAUGUUAGCGGCGGACGGGUGAGUAACACGUGGAUAACCUACCUAUAAGGCUGGGAUAACUUCGGGAAACCGGAGCUAAUACCGGAUAAUAUUUUGAACCGCAUGGUUCAAAAGUGAAAGACGGUCUUGCUGUCACUUAUAGAUGGAUCCGCGCUGCAUUAGCUAGUUGGUAAGGUAACGGCUUACCAAGGCAACGAUGCAUAGCCGACCUGAGAGGGUGAUCGGCCACACUGGAACUGAGACACGGUCCAGACUCCUACGGGAGGCAGCAGUAGGGAAUCUUCCGCAAUGGGCGAAAGCCUGACGGAGCAACGCCGCGUGAGUGAUGAAGGUCUUCGGAUCGUAAAACUCUGUUAUUAGGGAAGAACAUAUGUGUAAGUAACUGUGCACAUCUUGACGGUACCUAAUCAGAAAGCCACGGCUAACUACGUG